UACGUAGGGUGCAAGCGUUGUCCGGAAUUAUUGGGCGUAAAGAGCUCGUAGGUGGCCUGUCGCGUCGGCUGUGAAAACUCGGGGCUCAACUCCGAGCUUGCAGUCGAUACGGGCAGGCUAGAGUUCGGCAGGGGAGACUGGAAUUCCUGGUGUAGCGGUGAAAUGCGCAGAUAUCAGGAGGAACACCGAUGGCGAAGGCAGUUCUCUGGGCCGUAACUGACGCUGAGGAGCGAAAGCGUGGGGAGCGAACGGG
rnacentral:rRNA from 1 species